rnacentral:rRNA from 1 species
UCAGAAGUGCGAAUGCUGACAUAAGUAACGAUAAAGCGGGUGAAAAGCCCGCUCGCCGGAAGACCAAGGGUUCCUGUCCAACGUUAAUCGGGGCAGGGUGAGUCGACCCCUAAGGCGAGGCCGAAAGGCGUAGUCGAUGGGAAACAGGUUAAUAUUCCUGUACUUGGUGUUACUGCGAAGGGGGGACGGAGAAGGCUAUGUUGGCCGGGCGACGGUUGUCCCGGUUUAAGCGUGUAGGCUGGUUUUCCAGGCAAAUCCGGAAAAUCAAGGCUGAGGCGUGAUGACGAGGCACUACGGUGCUGAAGCAACAAAUGCCCUGCUUCCAGGAAAAGCCUCUAAGCAUCAGGUAACAUCAAAUCGUACCCCAAACCGACACAGGUGGUCAGGUAGAGAAUACCAAGGCGCUUGAGAGAACUCGGGUGAAGGAACUAGGCAAAAUGGUGCCGUAACUUCGGGAGAAGGCACGCUGAUAUGUAGGUGAAGUCCCUCGCGGAUGGAGCUGA